rnacentral:rRNA from 1 species
UACGGAGGGUGCAAGCGUUGCUCGGAAUCAUUGGGCGUAAAGCGUACGCAGGCUGUUUGCUAAGUCGGGUGUGAAAUCCCGGGGCUCAACCCCGGAACUGCGCCCGAAACUGGCAGACUUGAGUGCGGGAGAGGGAAGCGGAAUUCCUGGUGUAGAGGUGAAAUUCGUAGAUAUCAGGGGGAACACCGGUGGCGAAAGCGGCUUCCUGGCCCGACACUGACGCUCAUGUACGAAAGCGUGGGGAGCAAACAGG